UAGUCCACGCCGUAAACGAUGUCUGCUAGUUGUCAGGCCCUCAGGGCUUGGUGACGGAGCGAAAGUAUUAAGCAGACCGCCUGGGGAGUACGGCCGCAAGGUUAAAACUCAAAGGAAGUUGACGGGGACCCGCACAAGCGGUGGAGCAUGUUGUUUAAUUCGAUGCAACGCGAAGAACCUUACCAGGAUUUGACAUCCCCCGAACUUUCUGGAAACAGAUUGGUGCCUUCGGGAACGGGGAGACAGGUGGUGCAUGGCUGUCGUCAGCUCGUGUCGUGGGAUGUUGGGUUAAGUCCCGCAACGAGCGCAACCCACGUAUUUACGUUGCCAUCAUUCAGUUGGGCACUCUAGAUAGACUGCCGGGGACAACUCGGAGGAAGGUGUGGAUGACGUCAAGUCAGCAUGCCCCUUACAUCCUGGGCUACACACGUACUACAAUGCUAUGGACAAAGAGCUGCAAGCCAGCGAUGGCAAGCUAAUCUCAUAAACCAUAGGCUCAGUUC
rnacentral:rRNA from 1 species